CCUACGGGAGGCAGCAGUGAGGAAUAUUGGUCAAUGGGCGCGAGCCUGAACCAGCAAAGUCGCGUGAGGGAAGACGGUCCUAUGGAUGGUAAACCUCUUUUGUCGGGGAGCAAAAGACGCCACGCGUGGCGUUCCGAGAGUACCCGACGAAAAAGCAUCGGCUAACUCCGUGCCAGCCGCCGCGGUAAUACGGAGGAGGCGGGCGUUAUCCGGAUUUAUUGGGUUUAAGGGGUGCGCAGGCGGAAGAUCAAGUCAGCGGUAAAAUUGAGAGGCUCAACCUCUUCGGGCCGUUGAAACUGGUGUUCUUGAGUGGGUGAGAAGUAGGCGGAAUGCGUGGUGUAGCGGUGAAAUGCAUAGAUAUCACGCAGAACUCCGAUUGCGAAGGCAGCAUACCGGCGCUCAACUGACGCUCAUGCACGAAAGUGUGGGUAUCCAACAGGAUUAGAUACCCUAGUAGUC
rnacentral:rRNA from 1 species